GCGCCAAUAAUUCGCCUUGUCAUAUCGAGCAUCAUAGGCACUCAACAUAUAAGUGAGAGCUGGUUCCAUCAGGCCUCACUGAGACUCUCCACCCGACACAACAUGUGGAAACGGUAGCUCUCAGUUUAGCUUUUCAUGAUAACGAUGAGCCCCACACAGAAAGGAGCUCAUAGUUUCAGACUGUGUGGUGCUCACAUUAGUGAACGCAAUUGCCAGAAGGAAAUAUGUAGUGCACAUUGCAUUCGUUUUGUUAGAUUGAACUAUAAAACUUAGAGGGGGAGAACAAUCGAUAGUCGGCGCUAUCGAUAGUCGACGAUAGUUAUUUUACAACCAUCGAUAGUUGGCAAUAGUAAUAUCGAUAGUCGGGCGAUAGUCCCGUCCGCAAUAAAAUAUGUGAAUAAAAUAAUGUUCACAUUUUCUUUCUUGAACCUGGUUCGCCUCUCCGAAACAAUUUGCCCCCCCUUGCUAAAUACUCCUUCGGACUCGACGGAUGCUGCGGGGAUGCACAAGUAUUUUAAAAUCAGCCUUUUGAGCAAGGGACAAUCCGUUUGGUUCACCUGAAAUAUAAUUCAAUAAAAAUAUAUGUUUCUUCAGUAUUGAGUA
rnacentral:sRNA from 1 species